rnacentral:rRNA from 1 species
GACGAACGCUGGCGGCGUGCUUAACACAUGCAAGUCGAACGGAAAGGCCCUGCUUUUGUGGGGUGCUCGAGUGGCGAACGGGUGAGUAACACGUGAGUAACCUGCCCUUGACUUUGGGAUAACUUCAGGAAACUGGGGCUAAUACCGGAUAGGAGCUCCUGCUGCAUGGUGGGGGUUGGAAAGUUUCGGCGGUUGGGGAUGGACUCGCGGCUUAUCAGCUUGUUGGUGGGGUAGUGGCUUACCAAGGCUUUGACGGGUAGCCGGCCUGAGAGGGUGACCGGCAACAUGGGAACCGGGUUCCGGCCCAGGCCCACACGGGGGGCAGCAGGGGGGAAUAUGGCCCAAGGGGGGAAAGCUGGAGCGACCAACCCCGGGGGGGGGAUGACGGCCUUCGGGUUGAAAACCGCUUUCGCCUGUGACGAAGGGUGGAGGACGGGAAGGGGAAAAGAAGCACCGGCGAACUACGU